rnacentral:rRNA from 1 species
GAUGAACGCUGGCGGUAUGCUUAACACAUGCAAGUCGAGCGAGAUGUUUAGGCAUCUAGUGGCGGACGGGUGAGUAACGCGUGAGAAUCUGGCUCCAGGUCGGGGACAACAGUUGGAAACGACUGCUAAUACCGGAUGUGCCGAGAGGUGAAAGAUUUAUCGCCUGGAGAUGAGCUCGCGUCUGAUUAGCUAGUUGGUGGUGUAAGAGACUACCAAGGCGUCGAUCAGUAGCUGGUCUGAGAGGAUGAUCAGCCACACUGGGACUGAGACACGGCCCAGACUCCUACGGGAGGCAGCAGUGGGGAAUUUUCCGCAAUGGGCGAAAGCCUGACGGAGCAAUACCGCGUGAGGGAGGAAGGCUCUUGGGUCGUAAACCUCUUUUCUCAAGGAAGAAGAAAGUGACGGUACUUGAGGAAUAAGCAUCGGCUAACUCCGUGCCAGCAGCCGCGGUAAUACGGAGGAUGCAAGCGUUAUCCGGAAUGAUUGGGCGUAAAGGGUCUGCAGGUGGAACUGAAAGUCUGCUGUUAAAGAGUUUGGCUUAACCAAAUAAAAGCGGUAGAAACUACAGAACUAGAGUGCGGUAGGGGCAAAAGGAAUUCCUGGUGUAGCGGUGAAAUGCGUAGAUAUCAGGAAGAACACCGGUGGCGAAAGCGUUUUGCUAGACCGUAACUGACACUGAGGGACGAAAGCUAGGGGAGCGAAUGGGAUUAGAUACCCCAGUAGUCCUAGCCGUAAACGAUGGAUACUAGGCGUGGCUUGUAUCGACCCGAGCCGUGCCGGAGCUAACGCGUUAAGUAUCCCGCCUGGGGAGUACGCACGCAAGUGUGAAACUCAAAGGAAUUGACGGGGGCCCGCACAAGCGGUGGAGUAUGUGGUUUAAUUCGAUGCAACGCGAAGAACCUUACCAAGACUUGACAUCCUGCGAAUCCCGGUGAAAGCUGGGAGUGCCUUAGGGAGCGCAGAGACAGGUGGUGCAUGGCUGUCGUCAGCUCGUGUCGUGAGAUGUUGGGUUAAGUCCCGCAACGAGCGCAACCCUCGUUUUUAGUUGCCAGCAUUAAGUUGGGCACUCUAGAGAGACUGCCGGUGACAAACCGGAGGAAGGUGAGGAUGACGUCAAGUCAGCAUGCCCCUUACGUCUUGGGCUACACACGUACUACAAUGCUACGGACAGAGGGCAGCGAGCCAGGGAUGGCAAGCGAAUCCAGAAACCGUAGCUCAGUUCAGAUCGAAGGCUGCAACUCGCCUUCGUGAAGGAGGAAUCGCUAGUAAUUGCAGGUCAGCAUACUGCAGUGAAUUCGUUCCCGGGCCUUGUACACACCGCCCGUCACACCAUGGAAGUUGGUCACGCCCGAAGUCAUUACCCCAACCGAAAGGAGGGGGAUGCCUAAGGUAGGACUGGUGACUGGGGUGAA